rnacentral:lncRNA from 10 species
AGCCAUGAUGAGCACAGGGCCCUGGCAGAUGGAGGAUGGGUCUUUGGAAAGCUGGGUCAUGGCCCAACAAAUGUCAGGGCACAUGCGUCCAGUCAUAGUAAGUAGACUUUUUCUAGAAAAUUCUGUCCAAUGGUAGAACAUAAGUCCUGUGAAUAAGAAACAAAAGCACCACCACGGUGACUACGGUGCAAGGAUCAGAGAUGGCGCUGUCUCCUUUUAAAGUUACAGAUGGUGCCUGGCCUCCUUCCCUUCAGGGCAGCGUUUAACGGCAGCCCUCUCUUAGAGCAAACAAAGAGUCUUCCUUUGCAUACUUGAUAACAACUUAUUUUUCUCAUAGAUCACACAUGCAAACAAAUAUAGGUAAUAUGUAAACAAAAAGUAAGUUUUCUCUGCCUUUUCAGCUAGUCUCUUCCCCAAAUCACUAUAAUGAAGUUGAUUACCGUCUCCACCCUGGCGCCGGCAAGCACGUGUGCAGGCCCUGCUUUAUACACGGAGGGUGGCACAGUGUUCACACGGGUCUAGAUUGGCACGUACAUAACGCUCGCUUCUCUGUGUCGAUGGCUGCAUUGCAUGGACGCGCUGUAACUCGAGAGGCAGUGACACCCCACCUUCUGGGGGCUUCGUUCAAGUCCCAGCCCUGCUAGAUGGCCUCAGUGUAGCCUUGGGCACAUUAUUCGGCCUCUCUGUGUUUGCAUUUCCUCCUCUGUAAGCUUCAGCUGACUUUGUUGGGUCAGUGUGUGUGAAGUGGACAGCAGGCCCGGGCUCAAGGGUAAGAGUGUGCACUUGCUUGCACGCAGGCUUUUCCUUUUUUUCUCUCGUUCCUCUCUCUCCCCCACCCCUUUCUUGCUCUUCUCCUUUCUCUCCCUUUCCUCCCUCUCUGUUUCCUUUCAUUUAUAUCUUUAUGUGAACCUCUGAGUUGCCCCAGUGGUUGUUGGCUGUCGCAUCCUGCACACGCACAGGCGCCGGCAUAUCCACGGGGAAAGCCCUAGAUGUGCGCACUAGUGUGGAUCCCUGCAGUCUGCAGUGGAGGGAGUGGGG